GCCAGUGUGGUGCAGUGGUUUGAGCAUUGGACUAUGAUGCUGGAGAUCAGGAUUCAAAUACCUGCUUGGCCA